AAAAAGGGAAGAUCAAAACACUUUUCCUAAAAAAAUAGGGUUUUCUUCCCCAGGUGAACUCCCAUUUUUCCUCAGCUUUCCGUCUCUGAAGAAAGACAUUGUCAUACAAUGUAUGUGAAACUAGAAGCACAUUGACAUCCUGUGUGGCUCGAGGCAGAGGCUGUGGGAAGUCUUUUGGUAGGAGUAGCCCUACUAUUCAUGUAAGCAUGCCAACUAUUAUGAUACCUACUAUAGUUUCUCCUCAACAAGGUGGUACCCCAAUCGUUGAAAUAUCAGCUCAAUGUACCACCCCAACUAUCUCUGAGACACCUCUAUCUAUACCAAAUCAAAGCAAUCUCAUAUUUCAGGGUCUGUCUCUCAGAGCAUCCCAACAGAUUGUAGUAAUCCAAUUGUUGAAGGGGAUCUAUCUACUCAAAGCAACUCAAGAGGUCGUACAAACACAAUUGUUGAUGUUGAUUCUAGUAAUAGCUACUCACGAACACUUAUAGAUAAGUUUGAAAAGGGUAUUCAAGGUUAUUUUUGAUAAUUCUAGGUAUUACUUUACAUCAUACAUAAGUUUGAAAAGUGUAUUCAUACUAAUAGAUAAUUGAUAUAUUACU